CUAUUUUUGAACACCUAUUUCUUAUCACUAGAAUAAGGAAGUGCAACAAAAGCCUUCUAUAAAUAUGUCAUCUUAUAUUUGAUCAUUACCUAACGAUAGAGUCCUUGAAACAAGGCAUAAGCAGAAUCCAGGAGGCACCACUGAUCGCGAGAACCUUCCCUAGUCUACCACAUGUGCCUGAGCGCCAUCACUGUACGUGAACACUCACCCUCCUGACUUACUCCUCCAUGGUCACCUUAACAGGACCCUGCACACCCUCCCCCUGCUGGCCUCUGUCCCUCCCCCAGCACUUCAGUGCUGCCGACUUCUUCAUUCUCUCCCCUUGUGGUGCAACUUCUGAUGUCCAGUCUCCUAAGUGGAUUAUCAGAUGGAGUAGAGAAGAAGGAGAGGCUAAAUUUUGUUUCUGGAGAAUAAGUGGAAAGGGCAGAGGGGUCUCCACCAUUGCAUGACUUCCG
rnacentral:lncRNA from 1 species